rnacentral:rRNA from 1 species
AUACGUAGGUGGCAAGCGUUGUCCGGAAUUAUUGGGCGUAAAGCGCAUGUAGGCGGUUUGGUAAGUCGGUCGUGAAAAUGCGGUGCUUAACGCCGUAUGUCGAUCGAAACUGCUGAACUUUGGUGCAGGAGAGGAAAGGGGAACUCCCAGUGUAGCGGGGAAAUGCGUAGAUAUUGGGAAGAACACCGGUGGCGAAGGGGCCUUUCUGGACUGUGUCUGACGCUCAGAUGCGAAAGCCAGGGUAGCGAACGGGAUUAGAUCCCCCGGUAGUCCUGGCCGUAAACGAUGGGUACUAGGUGUGGGAGGUAUCGACUCCUUCCGUGCCGGAGUUAACGCAAUAAGUACCCCGCCUGGGGAGUACGGCCGCAAGGCUUAAACUCAAAUGAAUUGACGGGG